GUGUCCAAAACACCUGAGGGGCAAGUGGCUUCUCGAAGUCCAGCCCAUAUGGUUACUUUUGACUUGGACACUCAAGGCACAGGGACACAUGACACAGGCACAGGGUGUGACAACUGCAUGCAGAAAGAGCCACUCUCAUUCCUCAGAAGAGGCUGUGGAGAUGAGUGGCUGAGCCAUGUGCCCCAAAAUUCAUGUUGAAGUCCUAACCCCCAGUAUCUUAAAAUGUGACCAUAUUUAGAAAUAGAACCUUUAAAGAGCUAACUGGGUUAAAAUGAAUUCAUUAGGGUAGGCCCUACUUCAGUAUGACCGGUGUCUUUAGCAGAAGAAGAAAUCGGUACAGACACGCAGAGGGGAGGGCAUGUGAGGACAUGGGAAGGAAAUGCCACUUGCAAGCCAAGGAGAGAGGCCUCAGAAGAAACCAGCCCUCCUGACACCUUGAUCCUAGACUUCCAGCCUCCAGAACGACUUUUCUGUUUUGUUUUUUAGCCUAAAUGCUAUUGAAAAGAGCAGAGAAGAUAGAGUGCAGGCCCCUAGAGACAGGAUGGAACGAAACACGCAGUGUGCAUCUGUGUCCUGCUCAGCAUACGCUCUUGGUCCCCACUGGGCCAUCUCGCUGCUGACUGGCAUCCCGAAGAACAGGCAGAUUGCACAGGGGCAGCUCUUUCCUCCAAAGCUGCAAUGUGGUGCAUGAAGUCCUCAGAUUUGGGAACUCAUACAGGCACUUGAGCUCAAACAUACAGUUCUGAUCUAAGACAUCACAGUCUCAGCACUCUGAAGAAGCGUGCUUGUGAGCGCCGCGGGACGAUCCAGGAUGUCCAGGAUUGUGGACGAUCCUGUUCUUCCCAUCUGUGAGGUAAGGCAGAUUAGGAAUGUCCACGUCUAGCUUGAAUUUCACAUCCAGCCAUUGGCUGCCACCA
rnacentral:lncRNA from 10 species